CAAAAAUACGUUUAUAUUGAGAACUAACCAUAAUUAGAUUUUAUUUUGCACAAAUACCUAUUUAGGCUUUCAUCUCUACCUUCAACCUUCAACGUAUAUCUUAUACUCAACCAGAAAAAGUAAACGAAACAGAGGCCGGAGAAAACCUCCAUUAACGCCGAUUUCGGAGCUGCGCCGGUCGAUCCACCCGCCCCCAAAUCAUCGCCUAUCCUGAAGAAAAAAGAAGAAAACGAAAUAGAGCUCCGUUGCAAUCAUACCGAAGUUGUCGGAGCUUACCUCUCCGAUCCGUCCCCAAAUCAUUGCAAUGUGAGUUUCAAUAACUCAAAUCUCUCCCGUCAAAUCCAAAAUAAGUCAUAACAUUUCUUUUCAGCUACUACCAUUGGAAAAACUUUUGUUCUUGGAUCUUGAAAACCUAAGCAAAGAGCUCCAACAGAUUGCGGAGUUACUCUUGUUCCAUGGCUGCCUUCAUUUUCAAUAGCUUUACUCAGUGUGAAGUUACAAAAGAAGACUGAAAAAGAGCAAAAAUCUUGUCCAAUUUCAACUGUUGGACUUCACUAUGGAUAUGGAUAAAAUUUUCAUUGUAAUCCAACAUAGUGGUCAUUGGGAUGAAAAUCAAAAUUACAUCAACUUUCAAGUUCGCGGAAUGGUCAUUCCCAAUAAUUGCAACUACAACACCUUGGUUGGAAUGAUAUGUAAUGAGCUGAAGAUAGAUCUUGGAUCAACAACUCUAAAAAUAAAGUACCAAGGAAAAGACAACUACCCUCCAUUCCACAUAGAAGAUGACCUCCAAUUUUACUUCUACAAGGAGUUGAAGAAAAAAGAUUCAGAUUUUACAAAGUACCCGUUGUGCCUUACAAUGGAGAAUAACCAUAUUGAGUCGACUGUUUUUCCAACAAGAAGUACAUCAACAGAGAUUAACCAUAUUGAGCUGACUUUUUUUUCAACCAGAAGUACAUCAACUUAUAACGAAUUGGGUAUAGAAUUGGGACAAGCUGAAGAAGGAACAUCAAAUUCAGAUGAAGAAGCAACUGUUGACAUGGAUGCAGAUGAGAGUGAAAAUUAUAUCUCCAAUGCAAGGUUGGUUGCCAAGCAAAUAAUAGAAAUGGGAAAUGAAGCAAACAACGAUGCAGAAGAGAUUAAAAUAGACGAAGAUUCAGUAAUCAACAACAAAAACCAUCAAGAAAUAGCUCCGUCUCAGAUUUACAAAGAUAAAGAGACCUUGAAGACUGUGUUGAGCCACUAUGCAAUUAGAAAACAUUUUUCAGUACCGCGUGAAAAAAUCUUGCAAAAGACAGUUCCUAGCGGAGUGCUUUGACAAAAAUUGCAGCUGGAAGUUAAGGGCAUCAAGGAAUGGAAACACAAUGCAAUUUAUAAUUAUGACUUUUGAGGACAAUCAUAGCUGCGAUAUGAAGAUAAGAUUGAAAGAUCAACGUCAAGCAACCUCAACCAUCAUUCCAGACAUGAUCAAGUACAAAUUCACAAACAUCAAGACUAAAACCACGGUUGCAGAUGUUAUAAAUGAGUUGAAAAUUCGUGGAUUGAGAGUCAAAUACAGCAAAGCUUGGAGAUCAAUACAGAAGGAAAAAGAAAAAGAGGAAAUGUAAUUAAGUCUUACUCUGAGAUAGCCAAGUAUCUUUACUUGUUGCAUCAUACAAAUCCAGACUCUUUUGUGGAGCUCAAAACAGAGGAAGAUGGCUUUUUAUUCCUUUUUGUAGCAUUGAAUGCUUCAAGAAAAGGAUGGUUGCAUUGUAUUCCUGUGGUGAUAGUUGAUGUGACAUUCUUAAAGUCUACAUAUGGAGUUAUAUACUGCUGGUUGCAGCGACUCAAGAUGCGGAAGGUCAUAUUUUCCCGCUAGCUUUUAGUGUGGUUGAUUCAGAGAACGAUAAUUCUUAGGAGUGGUUCUUUGAAAAGUUUAGGGAGUGUUAUGGUUCAAGAGAAGACAUGGUCAUUAUCUCUGACCGUCACGAAAGCAUAAAAAAGGCAACCAUCAAAGUGUACCCAGAAGUACUUCAUGGAGCUUGCACCUUUCACCUACUAAAGAACAUUAAAAGCAAAUUAAGAAAAGCUCAAAAACUGUCUCAGAUACAUUCUUCGCAGUGGCAAAGGCAUACACUGUUGAAGGCUUCGAGCGCCACAUGGGAAAACUAGAUAAGAUUGACAAGAGGUUGAGACCCUACUUGCAAGAAAUCGGGUAUGAAAAAUGGGCUCAAGCUCACUCUCAAAAUAAUAGAUACUCGAACAUGGCAUCCAACCUCGCAGAAUCUUUGAAUUCUUUGAUUGUUGCAGUAAGGGAGCUACCAAUCUGCACUAUGGUAGAAUGUUUAAGAAGUUUGGUGCAAGAAUGGAGCUGUAAAAAUCGAAACAUAGCUCAAGCAAUUCCCACAAGGCUGACAAGCAAACAUGAAGAAAUCUUAAAUGAUAACUACAAAUACUCAUUGAAGAUGACGGUGCACCCGACAAAUGAUGUUUUGUUCGAAGUUCGUGAUGGAUGCAAAAAAGCAAUAGUUGAUCUAAGCUCGAGAACUUGUACAUGAAAACGGUUCCAAAUAGAUCAACUUCCUUGUGGCCAUGCAAUAGCUGUUCUAAAAGAUAUGAAUAAAGAUGCAUAUGAAUAUUGCUCAUCAUAUUACACAAAGGAGGCCAUGCUUGCAACUUAUGGAUAAAUUGUAUACCCUAUUCCUAAUGAAGACACAUGGGAGGUACCCGAAUAUGUUAAAUCAUGGGAAGUUCAGCAUCCAAAAGAAAAAAGUAAGAGUGGGAAGACCAAAGAAAAGAAGAAGCAAACCUUUAUGGCAGAAAAACAAAAAAUGAACAAAGCAAAUCAAAUGCGGAAAAUGUAAUCAACCUGGACAUAACAAAAAGACUUGCAGAAAUUUGGAAAACUAGCAAAACUUGAUUAUUGCUUGAUUAAGCAAAAUUGCACAUCAUUUAGUUUGGCUGAAAAAGUUAGUAUAGUAUA